AACAGUGAAGAGCAAAGGUGACCGUUGUUGACUGUGUUGCUAUAGUGCGUUUAUCUCGUUUGCUUUGCUUGGCACGGCCAACUAGGAUCUUAUCCUUCGCCGUGGUUGCAUUUUGCAAGUAGUGUCUUAGUUUCUCAGGAACGAACUUGUAUCUGUGGAAUGACCCAGUUGGCUCCUUGUUUUCUACUUAAAACGAACAACAACCCUUUGUCUAGUCGUCACGGAACGAUUACGUAGAGGACGCCAACGAAUUGCGAAAUAAAAUAAAGCUCAUGAGAAACUUUCCAAACUCUGACACAACAACUCUUCCACGCAUCUCGCAGAUCGACUGUUUCCCUCAAAAUCGCUUGAAUCCGGACGAGUUUGAACAGAAACGAAGAGGAGAUAAAAUAGAAGAACACAAGAAUCACAUUAUGGCCCAAACAGCAACCUUGAAAGAACAGGGCUUUGGCCGGCAUGGUAAACGGACUAAUUAUACAUCGGGGAUCUUGCCUCCCAUUUCGCAGAUUUCCAUGGGGGGAAGACAACUCCCUACGGAAGUGAGUCCUAGGGAAGAAGGCUUGAAGCUCCCUCCGAUUUCCCAAGUGGCUUGUCUCGGGGGCUAUCUCGAUGAAAAACAGCUUGUUAUGAAACAGUCCAAGUCUAGAAUCAGGGACAGCGAUUCCGAGUUUGUAAGACUUUCCAAAGCUGGUGGUCAGAAAAACCUAUUGUGCUAUACAGAGGCAGAUUCCACGCCUCGCGGGCACGCCACGAACGCGAACACAUUUCCACUCUCCACUCGUUAUAACGCCGGGGUCACUUCAGAGGCGGACCCAAGAUGGCGCCCAUCGCAUUGGUCCGACUUUUCGAGGCAGAAGCACGCGAGAAGCGAUCAUAGAUUCAUUUGGAGGUAGAUUAACAUGGUGGCUGAGUCAUCCACGAACAAAGACUGAAAAAAAAGAACUUAUUCAUGGUUAACCUUAGUUUAAAAUGUACAGAUUAAAGUAUAAACGAACUAAAACACAGAUUUAGUGAGGGUAUGUGUGAUCAGAUACAGUGUACUAGAAACCUCCUAUAUGAUAUACGUUGUAAAUGGUCACAUUUUAGUGGAAUAGCUGCUAUUUGUAGCCGAACAGACACAUCUAAUCUGAAAAAAAGGUCUUUGAAGAAUUGCUUGGCUUUAAAAGCUGUUAAAAGUUGUUUUAAAAGUAGUUGAAUUUAUCAUUCCUGUGUACAUAGCAGACUGAUUCCAGUCGUUUACCGAUAUUAAACGCUCGUUUUACGCGACA